rnacentral:rRNA from 1 species
UACGUAGGGUGCGAGCGUUGUCCGGAAUCAUUGGGCGUAAAGCGCGUGUAGGCGGCCCGGUAAGUCCGCUGUGAAAGUCGGGGGCUCAACCUCGAGACGUCGGCGGAAACCAUCUGGCUAGAGUCCGGAAGAGGAGAGUGGAAUUCCUGGUGUAGCGGUGAAAUGCGCAGAUAUCAGGAAGAACACCCGUGGCGAAAGCGGCUCUCUGGGACGGUACUGACGCUGAGACGCGAAAGCGUGGGGAGCGAACAGG